GUUGUCUAUUUUCUAACAAUGAGUCUUUUUGGGGGUUGUCUAUUUUCUAACAAUGAGUCUUUUUGGGGGUUGUCUAUUUUCUAACAAUGUAGCCAAUUUUCAAACAAUGUAGCCAUUUUUUUGGGGGGAGGUUGUCUAUUUUCUAACAAUGAGUCUUUUUGGGGGGUUGUCUAUUUUCUAACAAUGAGGCCAGUCUUUUUGGGGGUUGUCUAUUUUCUAACAAUUAGUCUUUUUGAGGGGGUUGUCUAUUUUCUAACAAUGUAGCCAAUUUUCAAACAAUGUAGCCAGUCUUUUUGGGGGUUGUCUAUUUUCUAACAAUGUAGCCAGUCUUUUGGGGGGUUGUCUAUUUUCUAACAAUGUAGCCAAUUUUCAAACAAUGUAGCCAGUCUUUUUGGGGGGUUGUCUAACAAUCAGCCAGUCUUUUUGGCGGGUUGUCUAUUUUCUAACAAUGUAGCCAGUCUUUUUGGGGGGUUGUCUAUUUUCUAACAAUGUAGCCAGUCUUUUUGGGGGGUUGUCUAUUUUCUAACAAUGUAGCCAGUCUCACAGUUGUUUCCUGAUGUCUGGUUCUCCAUGUCCAUUAUCCCUGAUAUUUCCUACAUUGUUGUGCCAGGGUCCGUAAGGGUUUACCCAGCGAGGCACGGGUGGUGGCCAG
ensembl:lncRNA